rnacentral:rRNA from 1 species
AGGUGGAUAUUUAAGUCAGAUGUGAAAUCCCUGGGCUCAACCCAGGACCUGCAUUUGAAACUGGAUGUCUAGAGUGCGGGAGAGGUAAGUGGAAUUCCUAGUGUAGCGGUGAAAUGCGUAGAGAUUAGGAAGAACACCAGUGGCGAAGGCGACUUACUGGACCGUAACUGACACUGAGGCACGAAAGCGUGGGUAGCAAACAGGAUUAGAUACCCUGGUAGUCCACGCCGUAAACGAUGAGUACUAGGUGUAGGGGGUAUCGACUCCCCCUGUGCCGCAGUUAACACAAUAAGUACUCCGCCUGGGAAGUACGAUCGCAAGAUUAAAACUCAAAGGAAUUGACGGGGGCCCGCACAAGCAGCGGAGCAUGUGGUUUAAUUCGAAGCAACGCGAAGAACCUUACCUAGACUUGACAUCCCCUGCAUUACUCGUAACUGAGGAAGUCCUUCGGGACAGGGAGACAGGUGGUGCAUGGUUGUCGUCAGCUCGUGUCGUGAGAUGUUAGGUUAAGUCCUGCAACGAGCGCAACCCUUAUCAUUAGUUGCUACCAUUCAGUUGAGCACUCUAGUGAGACUGCCCGGGUUAACCGGGAGGAAGGUGGGGAUGACGUCAAAUCAUCAUGCCCCUUAUGUCUAGGGCUACACACGUGCUACAAUGGUGAGUACAAAGAGAUGCAAUCCCGUGAGGGGGAGCCAAACUUAUAAAACUCAUCUCAGUUCGGAUUGUAGGCUGAAACUCGCCUACAUGAAGCUGGAGUUGCUAGUAAUCGCGAAUCAGCAUGUCGCGGUGAAUACGUUCCCGGGCCUUGUACACACCGCCCGUCACACCAUGAGAGCUGGCAACACCCGAAGUCCGUAGUCUAACCGUAAGGAGGACGCGGCCGAAGGUGGGGUUAGUGAUUGGGGUGAAGUCGUAACAAGGUAGCC